AACGGCAGCACAGUAAGAGCUUGCUCUUAUGGGUGGCGAGUGGCGGACGGGUGAGGAAUACAUCGGAAUCUACCUUUUCGUGGGGGAUAACGUAGGGAAACUUACGCUAAUACCGCAUACGACCUUCGGGUGAAAGCAGGGGACCUUCGGGCCUUGCGCGGAUAGAUGAGCCGAUGUCGGAUUAGCUAGUUGGCGGGGUAAAGGCCCACCAAGGCGACGAUCCGUAGCUGGUCUGAGAGGAUGAUCAGCCACACUGGAACUGAGACACGGUCCAGACUCCUACGGGAGGCAGCAGUGGGGAAUAUUGGACAAUGGGCGCAAGCCUGAUCCAGCCAUACCGCGUGGGUGAAGAAGGCCUUCGGGUUGUAAAGCCCUUUUGUUGGGAAAGAAAAGCAGUCGGCUAAUACCCGGUUGUUCUGACGGUACCCAAAGAAUAAGCACCGGCUAACUUCGUGCCAGCAGCCGCGGUAAUACGAAGGGUGCAAGCGUUACUCGGAAUUACUGGGCGUAAAGCGUGCGUAGGUGGUUGUUUAAGUCUGUUGUGAAAGCCCUGGGCUCAACCUGGGAAUUGCAGUGGAUACUGGGCGACUAGAGUGUGGUAGAGGGUAGUGGAAUUCCCGGUGUAGCAGUGAAAUGCGUAGAGAUCGGGAGGAACAUCCAUGGCGAAGGCA
rnacentral:rRNA from 1 species